ACAGUUCACAGAAAACUCUGAGAAGAAGUUAGCUGUGCUGAACCAUCAUUUCAUUAAACAUCCCGUGAGGUUGCCUGGAGAAAUUCAAGAGACACCAGUCUCCAUCUCAGAUCUUCCUGAUGCAUGGAGUGAAGUUAACACACUUCGUCUGGCUUACAGCACACCAAAGGAAGGACAACCCAAGUUCUUCCUGUUUGCCCUGUCGAGUCGCAGGAAAGCCUACAGCCAUUUCUACUGCCGGAGCA